rnacentral:rRNA from 1 species
AACUAGUGUGAAUUGCAUAUUCAGUGAAUCAUCGAGUCUUUGAACGCAACUUGCGCUCAUUGGUAUUCCAAUGAGCACGCCUGUUUCAGUAUCAAAA